rnacentral:rRNA from 1 species
GACGAACGCUGGCGGCGUGCUUAACACAUGCAAGUCGAACGGAAAGGCCUCGUUCGGGGGGUACUCGCGUGGCGAACGGGUGGGUAACUCGUGCGUAACCUGCCCUUGUCUUUGGCAUAAAUUCCGGCAACAAGGGCUAGUUCCGGCUAGGUACUCCUUCUACCUGGUGGGGGUUGGAAAGUUUCGGCGGUUGGGGGUGGACUGGCGGGUUAUCCGCUUGGUGGUGGGGUAGUGGGUUACCAAGGCUUUGCCGGGUAGCCGGACUGAGAGGGUGACCGGCGACACUGGGACUGAGAGACGGCCCAGACUCCGACGGGUGGGCGCAGUGGGGAAGAUUGCACAAUGGGUGGAAGGCGGAUGCAGCAAGGCCGCGGGCGGGAUGACGGUGUUCGGGGUGUAAAACGAUUGCGCACAUGACGAAGCUUUGUGUGACGGUAGUGGGUAAAGAAGCACCGGCUAACUACGUG